UCCACAGCCAGCAAGAGCUGCAAUGAUCCCAUUCCUGCAUAGGUGCAGGUCAGCCCCCAUUCCAAGUGCACUCCACCUUCCCGAGAGAAGUCUGCAUCUACAUGGGCCCUCCCAGCCCAGAGUUGGACCCAGAAAGAGGAGGGUUGAAGGCAAAGUCAGAUUCUACUGUCCUUACUGCCGUUAAGGACAAAGAAACAGUACCUCUGGCAAUAAGGGAAAAACAUUAGAAAGGGCUACUCUGCACCGGAAGACCUCAAAACACUGUACAAAGAUGAGUUUCAUGAACUGGUGAUAAAGAGACCAAACAACUUUUAGGUUUCUUAUUUUAUAUUUAUUUAUUGUUUUGCAGGGAGUUAUUUGUGACAAAUUUAAUUACUAGUAAUGAGUGAAAUCCAUACCUAUCAGAGGGACAGCACAUGGCUUAUGCAUUUCUUAAGUGGUAUUAGGGCUUGUAAGAGACCACUGCGCAGCAGAGAACUUCAAAGUACUUUUGUAGUAGUAGUCUGAUGUCUUGGAACAGUGUAGGGUAUAUCAUUGUGUGUUUUCAGAACAAUUAAAAAGGGUAUUGUCUCUAGAAAAUGGCAUUUGCUUGGGUAAAUUCUACUACCUGUGCUUGAAACUGAGGCCAUGUCUACACUAGGAAACUAUUUCAAAAUAACUACAUUAAACUUCAAAACUUCCGAUUUUACAAAAUGAAAAUAGCAUGUUCCUACUACGGGGAAGCAUCGAAAUAAGUCUGAGGCAGGCUCCAUGAA